rnacentral:rRNA from 1 species
UGGUGGAGUGAUUUGUCUGGUUAAUUCCGUUAACGAACGAGACCUCAGCCUACUAAAUAGUGAUGCGAAUCUUAGGAUUCGUAGACCACUUCUUAGAGGGACAAUUUGUGUUUAGCGAAUGGAAGUUGGAGGCAAUAACA